GAAUUUAUAAUCCGGCGAGAUGAAGGACGGAGGACUGUCGCUGGCCUUUCAUCGAGGCAUGUGCACGCUCUCCUCUGGACUUUCGCCGUAUGGGCGCGGGGCGACCCGCGUCUUCAUAUACCUCUUCGUGUAGAAAGUCUUUGAAUGUUUUUACAAUCAUCGAGUCGCGACUUCUAGGAGACGCGAUUCUUUGAGACAAAAGUUAUCACAACUUUCAGCAAUGGAUCUCUUGGCUCU
rnacentral:misc_RNA from 1 species